GACGAACGCUGGCGGCGUGCUUAACACAUGCAGGUCGAACGGAAAGGCCUGCUUUCCCUUGUGGAUUGCGGGUACUCGAGUGGCGAACGGGUGAGUAACACGUGAGUGAUCUGCCCCCAACUUGGGUAUAAGCCUGGGAAACUGGGUCUAAUUCCCGAUAGGACUGCAGGGUGGUGCCUGUGGUGGAAAACGAUUUUCUAGUGGUUGGGGAUGAGCUCGCGGCCUAUCAGCUUGUUGGUGGGGUAAUGGCCUACCAAGGCGGCGACGGGUAGCCGGCCUGAGAGGGUGGACGGCCACAUUGGGACUGAGAUACGGCCCAGACUCCUACGGGAGGCAGCAGUGGGGAAUAUUGCACAAUGGGCGGAAGCCUGAUGCAGCGACGCCGCGUGGGGGAUGACGGCCUUCGGGUUGUAAACUCCUUUCGACCGCGAGGAAGCCACCUGGUUGGAAGGGUGGUGACGGUAGUGGUAGAAGAAGCACCGGCUAACUACGU
rnacentral:rRNA from 1 species